rnacentral:misc_RNA from 1 species
GUUCACUACAGCUUGUGCCAAGCACCUGGCACCAGCUCUUCUUAUUGCAUUGGUACUCAUAUCCACUUCAGUUAAUUGACCGUGACCAUCUUCCAAUGCCUUUGCAAUUAAUACAGCACCCUCAUCUUUCAAUUCAUUCUCUCCCAACUUCAACGUGGUAAGAAAUUGUUUUGCAGCAAUACAGGCUGCCAGAGCGGGAGCAGCUUUAGCUGUGAUGUCAUUUCCAUCCAUCUCCAAAACCUCAAGGGAUGGAGCAGAUUCCCUGAGGACAUUAGCAAGAGCUAUGGACCCCUCAUCCUCCAAAUUUAGAUAACUUAAGUAAAUUUCAGUUAAGCCGGAAAAGAUUGAUAGUACUUUGCUCAAGGCAAUUCCAGCUUUCACACCAAACAUGUUGUCACGCAAAUCAACCUUCUUUAAAUUCCUACAUUCUCCAAGUGCUUGUGAAAGAGCAACCCCACCUUCAGAUCCUACCCUUGUAGAUGAGCACCGGAAAUCCUCCAAUGCAGGAGAAUGCUUCACAAGUUUAGAAAUAGAAAGUGCACCCUCAUCCCCU